rfam:Musa acuminata subsp. malaccensis Doubled-haploid Pahang (DH-Pahang) genomic chromosome, chr1
GGUUGGGCUGUGAUGAUGCUAUUUUUGUGGACUAGAGUUUCUGAUUCGUGGCCAUUCAUUUGCGCCAGUAUUUGAAGACUAACCCUUGGCUGUCUGAGCUCAACC